CAUAAAAAAGUGUGCUGUGCCUUUAAGUGAUAUGUGCAUUCAUAUAUGUAUGCACAUAUCACUUAAAGACACAGCGCACUUUUUUCUUUUCUAUU